UACCUCAACUCUAUCCUAUGUCCCUAAUAGGUAAUAUACAAAACAUCUACAAAACGCAAAUCCUUUUCAGCAGACCUUUCUGACCUCUCCUCAACAGCGACUGGUAACUUUAUUAUUCUGUAAAUUUUCAUGAUUUUAAUUCAGCAAAACAAAAGCUAUUGCUUCUAUUUUAUUCUUCAUUUAUCCUAUACAGAAAUGCAACAAAUCCAAUCGCAUACAAAACCACAACAGAUAGGCAUCUCAAAUUCUCAAUUCUUAUUAUUUAAAUCCAAAUACCCAACACUUUGACCCACGCAUAAUCUAAUGCCUACAGGAAUAAUUCUUCUUAUCUAAAACAAAUAAAAUGAAAUUAGAUACAUAGAGAGGGAUUAGAGACAAAAUUGGCUGCUGGCGAAGAGUAGGCAGGGGAAGCGCCACAACGCCGCUGCUGUCACGGCGGUGCUGUUGCUGUGCAUUGUCGUCCGAGAGAUGAAGGCGCAACGGCGGUUGCUCGCCGGAGGCGGCGGCAGUUCCGAGAGAGCGGACGAGAGAGAAGAGAGUGAUGAGGGUUCUAUGGGAGUUCGUUCAAUGGGACCAAGACAUCACAGUCCUUGAUAUGCCACAAUGUGAUAUAAAUGUUGAAGUUACGGUUGCAACCACAGUCGCCACAGGCUCGCUCAAUGGGUCCAAGAUAUUAAAGUCUUUGGCAUUUGAUGUUGAAGACGCGUGGAGAGUCGAAUGGGCACAUCAAGUCCUUUUAUUUUUGAAAAUACGAUGUUUUUAUUUGCACCUAAUAUUAUAUCUAAUAUUUUUGCUCAUGGUAGGUUUUGAGUCUCAAACUACUCCUAAAAUAAUAUUUGACUUAUUAAAUUAAAUAUUACAAUGUCCGUUCCACUUCAAAUGAUCUAAUUUUUAUUUUGGAUUGUCCCACUUCAAAUGAUCAAAUCCAAAUUUAGAAAUAAAAUUAGGUAUUUAACACUACUUUUUGGGUUGUCCCACCACUAUUUUACAGCUAUAUCACAUAUUUUUUAUAUUCGUGCCCAAUUUUUUGGGUUAUUUAAAACGGGACGGAGGGAAUAUUAUAUUGUGACUGGAUACCUUUAAUUUAAGUUCUAUUUGGGUAUUUUAUUUUGCAGUUCAUUCAUUUUGAAAAUGAUUUUUAAAAUGAUCAUAAUAAUUGUUUUUAUGAUAUUUUCGUAUUUAAAAUGAUUUAAAUUUAUAUAUAUUUAACACUUUAAUUAAAUUAAGAUAUUUUAGACUUUCAUUCGCAUUGAAAUGAGAACAAGUGGAUCUCUUAAUGGCCAACAAUGAUCGAUUUGUAAAGGGAGGUUUGCUCCUAAGAAUUUUGAGGGAAUCUUGCGACGCUAUAUUACUAUGGUUCCUAGAGACCACCGCAUUGUCGGAGCCCCACCGAAACUGACCCAUGCUCUUCUGGGGCGGCGGCGGCCACCGCCAGAGCUGCUCCGUCAGUCAUAUCUGCUUGGGACCUGAUGAUUUGAGCGGGGGGUUCGGGUGGAAACCCUGCUUGUUCUACGCUAGAGGCUUCUGUAAGAACGGGACGAGCUGCCGGUCCCUUCACGGUGAGGGUGAGGGCGGCGCCGUCGCGGUGGGGUCGCCCAGUAAGUUUGAGAUGAUGGAGCGAUGCCAGGAGCUGAUGAGAACAAUGUCAACUCACAUGAAUUUUCGUUACUUCUCUGAUGAUGAGUGAUGGAAUGCACAAUUUCAGGCGUGGCCGCCUCGAAAGGGCGAUUUUGUGAUGAAUAAUCCUGGGUCGAGGCAGAUUUACUUGACAUUCCCUGCUGAUAGCACCUUUAAGGAGGAGGAUGUGUCCACUUAUUUUAGUAAUUUUGGACCGGUUCAAGAUGUAAGGAUCCCAUAUCAGCAGAAGAGGAUGUUUGAGUUCGUCACCUUCGACUUCUCGGAGACUGUGAAGCCCAUUCUCGCCAAGGGAAACCCUCAUUUUCUCUGCGAUGCCCGGGUGCUCGUGAAGCCUUACAAAGAGAAAGGGAAGAUCCCAGACAAGCAUAGGAAACAGCAGCAAGAUUUGGCCUCGAGCCCCACCGGAACCGACCCCCAUGCUCUUCUGGCGGCGGUGGCCACCGCCGGAGCUGCUCCGUCAGUGAUAUCUGCGGUGGUCUCUGAGAACCAUAGCUGCGCGGAUGGAGAUGAGAGAGAGAGAGAGAAAGAGAAAGAGGUGAGAGAAAGCUUAAAUUAUAUAUAUAAAAAAUAAUGGUUAACUAACGGUUGGUAACGCCGUUUGGUCAGAGGAGCCUAAUUGCACGAUUUUUUUUUAGUUUGGGGGUUUAAUUACACUCACAGCGAGUAAGGGGGUUAUAUGCUAUA